CUGCUGACAGCCCAUCAACAAAUCAAUUGCACUGAAAGUCUCCACAACUGGCUGUGAUAUAUGAGGCAUAGGAAACACCAGGAGAUGGCUAUUGGUCCAGUGGUGGGUUGCCCCGGGUUCAGACCGGUUCUAUAGAACCCGUAGUAAAACUGACCCAGAUGUCAUCAGGAAGCUUCUGCGCAUAUGCAGAAUCGCACACACGCGCGGCCCCAUUACGAACCAGUAGUAAAGGAAUGAAUUCAGACAUUUCGCACUUCCUCUCCUGAGAAUCCCAGCAAGAUUCAUCCCUUUCUUCUCUAAUUUCAGUGGAUUCUGAGAACUUGAUUAUCUCUGGAUCUGGUCCCAGGAGCAACAAAUGGUUUACGUGGUAAAGUCUUUGGAGUUGUUCGAGACAAAAGAACAUUUUACUCUUUUAAUUGAAACCUGAUAACGAAUGUCUUUUAUAUGGUAUUGAACAAGUGCUCUGGUUGUCACUACAGUGCAAUGUACAACAUCAGCAGUUUGGACAUGAAUCUCCCUUGGAGGCUUUUAGUUCUUCUUUAUGCUUCCAGAUCUUUAUAUACUACAUGUGAAUGAUGUGAUCUUUAACAUCAAUGGCUUAAUGAAAUCCUGGCUCAGGAGGUUAUGGAGUUACGUCCACAUGAAAAACAGAAAGGCAUUCUUAUUGAUGUAUCCAUGGAGGACCCCUUUGCUACCACCGACUUGCUGAAAAGCAGAACAAAAACAUUUUGAAAUGUUAUUGAUCUUAGGUUUUCAUGAGGUUUCCAAUCGUUAUUUCUGUUUCCCAUUGCCUGGGCUUUUAAAUUUCACAGAGAACAGAAGGUCUAUGAUAGAAAUGACCAACUUGAAAUGCUGAAUAAAUUCACUCAUUUCCCUCCAUUA